CAGUUUUUCCUAAAUAACUACCUGAACCGUGGCACUGAGGAUGAAGAAUCUUUUAUGCACCCAGAUCCCCUGAAGUCUUCCUCCGUCUUCCUGGUUCAUCAUACCUUCCUGCAGGUCGAUGACCCCGACGCCGCUGGCGUCCAUGACGAGCACUCGUCCGUCAUCGGCCAGCCCGAACAUGUCCUCCGACGCCUGGGUGUAGUAGAGCCUGAAGCGCAGGCUGUUGGUGGCCAGGCCCUGGGCGAUGUGCAGUAGCUGAUAGGCCGCGUCGGCCCGCUGCUCCAGGGAGGCGGAGCGGAGAGCGCUCAGGGGGCGAGUGCCCGCCCACACCACCAGCCGACCGCAGGAGCCGUGGUACCGUGGAAACGGCCAUCCUUCUGUGCCAGGAAACAUCUGUGGGCAGAGGGGAAGUGAAGUGCGUUAAAAACAGGAAGUACCAAGACAGGGAUGUAGUUGCCCCAUUCAUCAUGUGCUACUGAAGACCUGUAACACCUCAGAAAUCAGGAGGGAAAAGAGGCUUGAAAUGAUAAAGAUCACAAAACUUCAGGAUGCUUAUACAUGAAUAGUUUUAGUUCUGAAAUGGUAAAUACUUUGUGGAAAUGUAUGUUAUUUGGGUAGCCCUUCUUAUUGGUUAGUGGCACAAAAUAUUCUUCAUGUGUUAAUGAAGACCUGAAACAUACAAAGGCCUGCUGCAACUUUGGGGAAAAAAAGAUGGAAAUGGAAAAAAUGUUCAGACACAGUACUCUGUGUCCUUCACUGUGUCCACUAAAAGUUCUCUUCCCUCGGAGCACUAUUGUGUGUGAACCUUAUUUUUCCCCAGACAGGUUUUCAAGUGCGCCUAUUGACCACUUAAUGACAGUGCUGCCGCAGAUCGCUCACGGAAACGAACGCGGGGGCUGAUUGUCUGUCUCUCCAUCGCCGCCAUCACAUCGCACCUGCAGCAUGAGUGGGUGUUGAUUGACGGCCAGCGUGUACAGCAGGCGGAGCUUGUCCCUGUCGCUGAAGUGCUUCAUCUGCAUGCUGCCCACGUCCAGCACCUCGGCGUAGCGCCGCACCACACGGUCCAGCAGACGCUGAGAUGGACAUCGGAGCAAAGGGGCGGACAGACCCUGGGGAUAAGUGUCGCACACCGAGAGCGGAGGAAGAAAUGAGGUGUACCUGCACCAUGCUGGGGUAGAGCAGGUGUGAGCGUGCCCAGCUCUGGAAGCGAGCCGUGGCCCUGAGUGCUGUCUCAAUGCUGCAGGUCGGGGG